UCGCUGUCUUAACCCGUGUAAUGCGUGU
rnacentral:sRNA from 1 species